rnacentral:rRNA from 1 species
GAUGAACGCUGGCGGCGUGCCUAAUACAUGCAAGUCGAGCGAACUGAUUAGAAGCUUGCUUCUAUGACGUUAGCGGCGGACGGGUGAGUAACACGUGGGCAACCUGCCUGUAAGACUGGGAUAACUUCGGGAAACCGAAGCUAAUACCGGAUAGGAUCUUCUCCUUCAUGGGAGAUGAUUGAAAGAUGGUUUCGGCUAUCACUUACAGAUGGGCCCGCGGUGCAUUAGCUAGUUGGUGAGGUAACGGCUCACCAAGGCAACGAUGCAUAGCCGACCUGAGAGAGGGAUCGGCCACACUGGGACUGAGACACGGCCGAGACUCCUAGGGGAGGCAGCAGUAGGGAAGCUUCCGCAAUGGACGAAAGUCUGACGGAGCAACGCCGCGUGAGUGAUGAAGGCUUUCGGGUCGUAAAACUCUGUUGUUAGGGAAGAAUAAGUACAAGAGUAACUGCUUGUACCUUGACGGUACCUAACCAGAAAGCCACGGCUAACUACGUGCCAGCCGCCGCAGUAAAAC